UACGAAGGGGCUAGCGUUGUUCGGAAUCACUGGGCGUAAAGGGCGCGUAGGCGGCUUUAUAAGUCGGGGGUGAAAGCCUGUGGCUCAACCACAGAAUUGCCUUCGAUACUGUAGAGCUUGAGACCGGAAGAGGUAAGUGGAACUGCGAGUGUAGAGGUGAAAUUCGUAGAUAUUCGCAAGAACACCAGUGGCGAAGGCGGCUCACUGGCCCGGUACUGACGCUGAGGUGCGAAAGCGUGGGGAGCAAACAGGG
rnacentral:rRNA from 1 species